rnacentral:snRNA from 1 species
AUACUUACCUAGCGGGAGUUACCAUGAUCACGAAGGUGGUUUUCCCAAAAGGAGGCUCAUCCAUUGCACUCCAGAUGUGCUGAUGCCUGAAAUUUCCCCGAAUGUGGGAAACUCCACUGCAUAAUUUGUGGUGGUGGGGGGGGACUGCGUUCACGCUCUCCCUUG